rnacentral:tRNA from 1 species
GCCCCAUAAGCUGGCUGCUCGGACUGAAAAUCCGCGUGUCGGUGGUUCGAAUCCGCCCCUGGGCA